CAUCAUCCUAUUGCCAAUUUUCCAUUCAUUUGAAGAUUUCAUUUACUAUCAGAAUUCGGCCUUAAAAAUGGGUUUAACACAGGCGAAGAUGAUGCUGCUGUUCAUAGCCAUGAUGGUCCUCAUCUCAUUUGCUGCCGCCAUUGUUACCCCUCACGAUUUGAUUCUCAAACCUUCCAAUCUCGGACGAAAGAUUCUUGGGUAUUAUGACCCUCCUAGCACAUAUGGCCCACCAAGUGGAGGGGGAGGCACUACAUGCUGUAAAUAAGAAGCCAUCGAGAAUAGGACCAUAUAUAGCGUAAGAGACUAAGAAGUUAGUGUGUUGUAUGUGAGUAUAUGCAUUUUUUUUUUAUAAUAUUGAUGCUACGUUUGAUAAGAAUAUUAUAUUUUGAAUGUGAGAUACGAUAUUUGUUGUCAGAGCAAUUUAGAUUAACUUAUACCUUGAA